ensembl:lncRNA
CAAAACAAGGUGUCAAAAGGCUUUGCUGCAUAUUACUAAUUUAAUUUUUUUAUCCCAAUAUUUUUGCAGGUGUGUGGAGGAGCAGGUCCUGUUCUCACUGUUGCUACUCCCACAUAGGUGGACUCUGUAACUGAUCAUGUGUGGGUGGGGCCUAUUGAAAUUAAGGAGAUUCUGCAAUAGUGCAGGGUUCUGUUUGUGAAAAGUCAAUUGCAAGAUCAGGACCCUACUGUGACUCCUUACUGUGCAUACUGUCAGUGUAUCAUUGAUUGUGCUGGAACCUGCCUUAUGGGAUAAUGUAAGUCCUGCUUUUCCUCCAAAUGUAUUUCAGAUGUGAAAUAAUCCUAAAACAUUUUUGAUUAGAAAAUAAAUAUCAUUUACAUGCAUUCUUUUAAUUAUGUUUUCUUGGCAGUACCAAAUAAUAUAUUCCUCAAAACUUCUUAAUGGCACUGAGGCUUUGUGGAUAGUUGGUCACAUGAUGAGAAAAUUCGGCUCACCUUCCCAGUACUUUGAGGAAGAGAAUGAAGGGGCACAGCUCUGUUCUGCCUGAGGUAACGCUGCUACAAAUAUUAUUUGGAAGAAAAGGAACUCUGAAUUGUCUUAUACUGUAACUAGCUCUGCACUCCUUGCUGCUCCUAACUCGCAUCAUUGAGCACCUGAUCUGCUUGUUUCUUUGGUUUGACCCUUGCCAUGAUGCCAAGUUCCUACUUUAAAGAACUGAAACUAGAGAAACAUCAAGAAAGCAGAUACCAAGACAAGUAGUUGAUGCUGGUGGAAUUUAGGGAGUUGGCAUUUGCUACAUGGGCACCAUUAUGCGGGCUUGGGAAUGCUUCAGGAGCUGGAGAAACCAAACUGCAGCAGCAGAGAGUAAGUUUCCUUUAGUGGCAAAUGGAGACAAUAGCUCUGGUUCUGUACACUAAGAAAAAAAAAGCAAAGGAAUGUGCCUGAACAUUCAGCAUGUUAGUCAUUGUAAGUUUAAGUUGUAAAUUCUUUUUCUCUGCUGUUGUUUGCGCUUGGCUUGUAUCACCACUGUCCUGUCUUCAAGCUGGAUGUAGCAUGUUUUUUGUUUAUGUCGGAUGAGGCACCCAUCAUAUUAUAASAAACGUCAUGAACAUUGUUUUUCUUCAAUCCUUGAAAGUCAAAAUGUGGUAGCAUAGAUAGUAAUAAGUUAGUACUGAAUGUGACAGGAAAGAAUUUUCUGGUUGCACAGUAUUUAUAGGAAAAACAAUGUUUUAUAUGUCACCUCAUAUACCUCCUCCCAGUCUCUUUUCCACUCCUAAGCAGAAGUAAUGCAUGAAAACUUUCUUCAGUAGUGUCCUCAGUUCUUCAUUUCCAGUUACAGCUAUUGGUUCUUUGUUGGUACUUUUUUCAAAUUUAGGUUGAGGUCCUCAUAAAACUUCUCUGCAUCCUCUGUAAUUGACACCAUCAUGCUGUCAUUUGUUUAAGUCAUCAAAUUUAGGCUAAAUCUGAGUUUUGGAAAUCUUUUUCCAGCCCUUCUAAGGAUGCUCCUUCCUUUCUGUCAGAGAAUUAUACUUCUCAUCCAGGUUUUC